GUGCUUGCUUCAGCAGCACGUAUGCUAAUACUGGAAUGAUACAGAGAUUAUUGUGGCCCCUGUGCAAGAAUGACAUGUGAAUACAUGAAGAAUUCCGUAUUUUU
ensembl:snRNA U6 U6 spliceosomal RNA